rnacentral:miRNA from 1 species
UGAGAAACCUUACAGGUGUCUU